UACGUAGGGUGCAAGCGUUGUCCGGAAUUAUUGGGCGUAAAGAGCUCGUAGGCGGCUUGUCACGUCGACUGUGAAAACCCGGGGCUCAACCCGGGAACUGCGUCCGAUACUGGCAGGCUUGAAUUCGGGAGAGGGAUGCGGAAUUCCAGGUGUAGCGGUGAAAUGCGUAGAUAUCUGGAGGAACACCGGUGGCGAAGGCGGCUCACUGGACCGGUUCUGACGCUGAGGCGCGAAAGCGUGGGGAGCAAACGGG
rnacentral:rRNA from 1 species